UAGAGUUUGAUCAUGGCUCAGAUUGAACGCUGGCGGCAGGCCUAACACAUGCAAGUCGAGCGGUAACAGAGAUAGCUUGCUAUCUGCUGACGAGCGGCGGACGGGUGAGUAACGCGUAGGAAUCUACCUAGUAGUGGGGGAUAAGCCAGAGAAAUUUGGUCUAAUACCGCAUACGCCCUACGGGGGAAAGGAGGGGAUCUUCGGACCUUUCGCUAUUAGAUGAGCCUGCGUAAGAUUAGCUAGUUGGUGAGGUAAGAGCUCACCAAGGCGACGAUCUUUAGCUGGUCUGAGAGGAUGAUCAGCCACACUGGGACUGAGACACGGCCCAGACUCCUACGGGAGGCAGCAGUGGGGAAUAUUGGACAAUGGGGGCAACCCUGAUCCAGCCAUGCCGCGUGUGUGAAGAAGGCCUUCGGGUUGUAAAGCACUUUCAGAGGUGAGGAAAGGUGAGUAGUUAAUACCUGCUUACUGUGACGUUAACCUCAGAAGAAGGACCGGCUAACUCCGUGCCAGCAGCCGCGGUAAUACGGAGGGUCCGAGCGUUAAUCGGAAUUACUGGGCGUAAAGCGCGCGUAGGUGGUUUCGUCAGUCAGAUGUGAAAGCC
rnacentral:rRNA from 1 species